AUUGAACGCUGGCGGCAUGCCUUACACAUGCAAGUCGAACGGCAGCACGGACUUCGGUCUGGUGGCGAGUGGCGAACGGGUGAGUAAUGUAUCGGAACGUACCUUUCAGUGGGGGAUAACGUAGCGAAAGUUAUGCUAAUACCGCAUAUUCUGUGAGCAGGAAAGCAGGGGAUCGAAAGACCUUGCGCUGAUUGAGCGGCCGAUAUCAGAUUAGCUAGUUGGUGGGGUAAAGGCCUACCAAGGCGACGAUCUGUAGCGGGUCUGAGAGGAUGAUCCGCCACACUGGAACUGAGACACGGUCCAGACUCCUACGGGAGGCAGCAGUGGGGAAUUUUGGACAAAGGGGGCAACCCUGAUCCAGCCAUGCCGCGUGAGUGAAGAAGGCCUUCGGGUUGUAAAGCUCUUUCGGCCGGGAAGAAAUAGCAUAGGCUAAUACCCUGUGUGGAUGACGGUACCGGAAUAAGAAGCACCGGCUAACUACGUG
rnacentral:rRNA from 1 species